UACGGAGGGAGCUAGCGUUGUUCGGAAUUACUGGGCGUAAAGGGCUCGUAGGCGGCCAACUAAGUCAUACGUGAAAUCCCUCAGCUUAACUGGGGAACUGCGUGUGAUACUGGAUGGCUUGGAUUUGGGAGAGGGAUGCGGAAUUCCAGGUGUAGCGGUGAAAUGCGUAGAUAUCUGGAGGAACACCGGUGGCGAAGGCGGCAUCCUGGACCAAUAUUGACGCUGAGGAGCGAAAGCUAGGGGAGCAAACGGG
rnacentral:rRNA from 1 species